UAAAGUUCACUAAAGACAAAGUUUGAAAUAUAUAUAUAGUAUUUAAAUUAUUUAUUAUAUAGAUUUUCAGCAAUGAUAUUUUCUGUUACAGUCGUCAAAGCACGCUCUAAUAAAGAAAAAGAGACUAAAGAGACUAAACCAACUAAAAAAAAAAGAAAGAAAGAAUGUGAAUGUCAGUGGUCAAAUGUAGGAACGUUGGAACGUUUGGAAUAAUAUUGGAACGUUUGUAUAACGGAAGUUUGUAUAACGGAAGUAGGAAUACUUUGUCCGGUCCUUAUUUCCGGUUGCAGGUACGGCGGGGUUUCAAGUCAAAAAAAGUUUCAGGCGAAGAACAUGGAAUAUCUACGUGGAGCUACAAAUGACAACACGACUCUGCUAGUUUUGACUUGCAAUUGUGUUACAAACAUAACGCCAUAGCCAUGAAAAGGGGACACGACUGAGGUGGCCAACGUGUGGUACGACGUACAACGGAUACACGUUACCUGUGCGAAGUCCUGAAGGAAGCUAAGGAGGCACAUCAACGACAUCCAGACGUCUGUAGACCUCACCAUGUUCAUCAGUGCCUCAAAGGACGACACCGCCAAGGAGGCCAGGCAGAACCAGUAAGAGGGGCUCCAGGUGACGAUCAACAGCCUGAAGAUGCUGCUGAGGGACGUGGAGCAGGAUCUGAGCAUCUGUACGAACAAUUUUAAACAAACCAAAUCAUUUCAGUCAUCCCGACACGUCGGUAGGUUGACGAAAAAGAAGAUGUUGUACUCAAUGAGACAGGAGAAGCAAAGAAAGACGGAGUAGAAGAGCAGACAGAUUAUACUGAGUAGAUUUCAGAGGAAACGGAAACACUGCUACCCACAUCUGAGCCAUAGCUGAUAGCCAGUGUCUUCAGAGCCCAGGGCAGACCAAGCCCCACCAAGAUGUCAAAGACGUUGCUGCCUAU